rnacentral:tRNA from 1 species
GCGCCUGUAGCCUAGUUGGUAAAGGCAGCACUCUAGUAUAGCUCAGGUUGUGAGUUUGACUCUCACCAGACACA